rnacentral:rRNA from 1 species
AUUGAACGCUGGCGGCGUGCCUUACACAUGCAAGUCGAACGGUAACGGGCCUUCGGGUGCCGACGAGUGGCGAACGGGUGAGUAACAUAUCGGAACGUACCUUUCAGUGGGGGAUAACGUAGCGAAAGUUACGCUAAUACCGCAUAUUCUUUGCGCAGGAAAGCAGGGGCCCUUCGGGCCUUGCGCUGAUUGAGAGGCCGAUAUCAGAUUAGCUAGUUGGUGAGGUAAAGGCUCACAAAGGCGACGAUCAGUAGCUGGUCUGAGAGGACGACCAGCCACAUUGGAAUCGUGACACGGUCCAGACUCCUACGGGAGGCAGCAGUGGGGAAUUUUGAACAAUGGGCGAAAGCCUGAUCCAUCAAUGCCGCGUGAGUGAAGAAGGCCUUCGGGUUGUAAAGCUCUUUUGUCAGGGAAGAAACGGUUGUGGCUAAUAUCCAUGGCUAAUGACGGUACCUGAAGAAUAAGCACCGGCUAACUACGUGCCAGCCGCCGCGGUAACAC